GUUAUGGGCCAAAACUUUUGGUAAAUAUUAACUCUCAUUUUACUACUUUCCUCAUUGGCCCCAGAAACGAAAGUUCAGACUUCAUGUAGAUAAAUCCAAAGUCACACGCGAUGGGAGGCGAGGUCAGAAAUGCAAUAUCAGCUUGAUUGUUCAAGUUGUGAUCGUCUUUAGAGAAAAAAUACGAAAAUCUACCUCUUGCUCGAUAUUAUGAGAGUGUAUUGAGGUCAUUCGUCUUUAGGAAGUCCCUAGGUCUACGAUGCAGGUCCACGCGGGGACUUCAAGGCCUUCUCUAGUCACCUAAUCAGAUGGAAAUCCUCUCUAGAUGCUUCAUCUCAGCUUUCGGAAGGCAAGAGAGGGCUCCUCAGAGUUCGGAAAGGAGGGAGGAAUGUGGGAAUGAAUUUGAAACACUUUAUGAAGCGAGCAGCAAGAAAUACGUAAUCUCUAGGGGUCUUAGCAUCUGUGCCGUCAGAAGGUGCCCCUCAGUGUCACUGCCCUGAAUGCUAGAAGAAUAGCAUUCCAGAUGUGACGGUGGCAGUGUUGGUGGGUGCUCCUCAGUGCUGCCUGGACUAGCCUUGAUCUCCCAGGAUGAAGGAAUCUUCCUCUCUCAGCCUCCUGAACAUCUGGGUCUCCAGGUGUAACCACUAUGCCUUAAAGUUGCCUGAUGGUUUCACAUAUCACUAAAAAUGAAAUGGAAAUGCAGCCUCUGGCCCUGAUGAGAUCCCCGUCUUCACCUACAUCUUGGCUCAUGCCUGCUUCCAUUGGUUUUCUUUCUAAUCAGCAAAUCCCAGUCUCUUCCCUAAACUGCGUUACCUGCUUUGCCCUCUGCCUCACCUCCAGCUUUUCCUGUCAGUCUCUCCUCAAAUGUCACCUCCUCAGAGGUCUGUAGAGGCCUGUCUUCCCUGUUCCUCGAGGCCAAAGCACAGGAUGCAAGAAAUAUUUACGCUAACCAGCUUAGCUUCCCCUGCUCAAUUCUGCCAGCCAGAGGGA